rnacentral:rRNA from 1 species
AUUGAACGCUGGCGGCAGGCCUAACACAUGCAAGUCGAGCGGCAGCGGGAAGUAGCUUGCUACUUUGCCGGCGAGCGGCGGACGGGUGAGUAAUGUCUGGGAAACUGCCCGAUGGAGGGGGAUAACUACUGGAAACGGUAGCUAAUACCACAUAACGUCGCAAGACCAAAGAGGGGGACCUUCGGGCCUCUUGCCAUCGGAUGUGCCCAGAUGGGAUUAGCUAGUAGGUGGGGUAACGGCUCACCUAGGCGACGAUCCCUAGCUGGUCUGAGAGGAGUACCAGCCACAAUGGAACUGAGGAAAGGUCAAAACUCCUACUGGAGGCAGCAGUGGGGAAUAUUGCACAAUGGGCGCAAGCCUGAUGCAGCCAUGCCGCGUGUAUGAAGAAGGCCUUCGUGUUGUAAAGUACUUUCAGCGGGGAUUAAGGUGUUGAGGUUAAUAACCUCAGCAAUUGACGUUACCCGCAGAAGAAGCACCGGCUAACUCCGUGCCAGCAGCCGCCGCAGUAA